rnacentral:misc_RNA from 1 species
GGAUAUUUUCUCCUCCGCUCACUCGGCUGCCUCCGUUCAUCUCCCUCCAGCCCCAACGCCGAGCCGCCGCCCCUGGGUUCUUCAAAAAAAAAUCUGCCGCCGCCGCCUCCCUUAAAGAUUUUUCCACUGCAUCUCUCUCUCCUUAUCUUCUUCAGCACCACGGCUUCCUCUCCCAGCCUGCCCUCCACCUCCCUCUCUACUCGGCGGACCGCACAGCUCCGGCGCGCGCACAGCCGAGCGGCUUCCCGCGCACGCUGCUCCCUGCGCUCGCCUGGCUCGCCGCGCGCCCAAGCCCUCUUCUUCCUCCCUCCUCCCAGCGCGCGCUACUCCUCUUCCCCAGCCGCGAAGUUCCAUGGCGCGCCGGCUCCCUGCUCGGCUCCUUCCUCUCUGCUCCCUGUUCACCGUCCACGCUCUAUCGGUCUCCAGCUCGUCGCCAUGGCACGUCUCUCUCCCAGCGUAAGCUCUUGGACGCCGCAUCCUCCCGGUCAUGGAGUUCACCGGUAGUCGCCGUCGUCGAAGCUCCCUGCGCGCGCGCAUCUCCCUACUCCAGUCCAGCCGCUGCUCCUUGCUCGCCCGAAUUCGAUCUCCGCCCUGCCCAUCACCCCUACGCGCGCUCUGCUUCCUCGUGCGGCUUUCUGCUCGCCUGGCCACGCCCUGCUUCCAUGGUCGCGUGCCCAUCUUCCUCCCUCUCUGCUUGCCGCGUGCGCAGCUCCCUGGCGCGUCUUCUUCCCUAUUGGUGCCCGCCCAGCCGCUCCCUCCUCUCUCCCCUUGGCAAACCUCCCUCAAUUUCCCGCGCCGUCCAUCGCGCCCGGCUUUAGCUCGUCGGACCUCCGCGCAGCGAGCUCGCCCCAUGGCGCCCGACCGAGCUCCUCCCUCGCCAAACCGCGCCCCUGCUGUCUGUCCGGCCUUGGCCGCCGUGCCGAGGCCUCCUUCCCUUCGCGUCGUGGUAUUUCUUCCCUGCCCCUCCCGUGGCGGCUCCAUCCAGCUCGACCUCUGCUCAGUGCCCAGCUCGCCCCUCGUCGCGCUUGGCCUCGGUAAAUCAUGGACAGCGCCUCCACCUGCUCAAUCUCACCCCUGCGUUCGUCCAUAGACUUGCUCACCGAGCCACCCACCUUUGUGCGCAAUCGAUCGAUCCUGCUGUCGUCCGUCAUGGAUGCUCAGCUCGCCGGCGCUUGCGCUUUGCUGGCCGUUUAUAAUUUCAGCAAGCCACGUUAUAAAUGGGUCCCACAUUGACUCUUACGAAUCACUUUCAUUGUUCGUUAUUAAGCUCGGAGAAGGUGUUUUUCAUACCUUCGGCACAUGACCUUCAUUUGUUUCGGGAUCUGAGCUUGUUGCAAAAAAACGAACUAAUACCGCAAGGGGCUACUUUUGGGGGUCUCUUUCUUUUGAAGGUCCUCAAAACACUAAGAUAAUGGUUGUCUUCUGAACUAUUUCUAAGUAUUAUAGGUACCUCUGCCAAAAGCUUCUUUGGUGAAUUGAUUAAAGGCAAAUGUACAAGCUUUGGGUUGCCAUCACAAAGGGACCAGGGACAAAGCCAGAGAAAGCCAAAGCAAGUCUCCUCGGGUCCGUUCGCCAAGCUAACGAAAGGAAUAGACAUCCUUACCCCUGCCAUGUUAAAUAGUUGAAAUAUAUAGGCUUAAGGAUGCAAAUGUAAUUUUACCAAAGAAUGUACUCUGCGCCUAUAAAUAGAGGAAUAGUGCUAUGCAUUUAGGGAUCUUCUCAUCAGAGAAAGAGUUGAUUGUUCCCAUCUACGAAGCUACAAUUCUUCCUUCGUAUUAUAAGCUUCGCAAAGCCAAAGGUACAAAUGUAAUCUCUGAUUUAAUACUGAAAAAAUAGAAGGAUGUAAGCAUUCUUUAUUGAGAGCACCUAGAGGGGGUGAAUAGGUGAUCAUGCAAAACUUAUUUCAAACAACACAAACUUGGUCUAUAAAAGGUGUUAGUGUAAAUUAAAACCAAGAUUGAAUGAGAA